GGAAUCUUCCACAAUGGACGAAAGUCUGAUGGAGCAACGCCGCGUGAGUGAAGAAGGUUUUCGGAUCGUAAAACUCUGUUGUUGGAGACGAACACGUUUGAGAGUAACUGUUCAGACGUUGACGGUAUCCAACCAGAAAGCCACGGCUAACUACGUGCCAGCAGCCGCGGUAAUACGUAGGUCCCGAGCGUUGUCCGGAUUUAUUGGGCGUAAAGCGAGUGCAGGCGGUUUAAUAAGUCUGAAGUUAAAGGCAGUGGCUUAACCAUUGUUCGCUUUGGAAACUGUUAGACUUGAGUGCAGAAGGGGAGAGUGGAAUUCCAUGUGUAGCGGUGAAAUGCGUAGAUAUAUGGAGGAACACCGGUGGCGAAAGCGGCUCUCUGGUCUGUAACUGACGCUGAGGCUCGAAAGCAUGGGUAGCGAACA
rnacentral:rRNA from 1 species